UACGGAGGGUGCAAGCGUUGUCCGGAUUUAUUGGGUUUAAAGGGUGCGUAGGCGGUCUUUUAAGUCAGUGGUGAAGUCCUCCAGCUCAACUGGAGAACUGCCAUUGAUACUGGAAGACUUGAGUAUAGUUGAGGUAGGCGGAAUUGACAGUGUAGCGGUGAAAUGCAUAGAUAUUGUCAAGAACCCCGAUUGCGAAGGCAGCUUACUAAACUAUAACUGACGCUGAGGCACGAAAGUGCGGGGAUCAAACAGG
rnacentral:rRNA from 1 species